AGAGGAUGUGUCAGAACUAAGGAAUGAA
rnacentral:piRNA from 1 species